GACCACGUAGCUCAGUUGGCAGAGCAUUGGGCUAGUAUUCCAAAGGUCGUAGGUUCGAUUCCCACCGUGGUCA